CCUGCAAUUGAGAUGAGCCCUGACUAGAACCAAACCCAGGACCCUUUUGGUCUGCAGGCUGACACUCUAUCCAAUGCCCAACCGGCUAGGGCUUAUUGAAGUACAGAUUUACCUAUUGCAUCCUGUUUUAUUGGUUAAGAAAAAAAUCUAGGUGGACCUGAAAAGAACAUUAAUUCUAAACUAUCAAAAUAGGUUAUGGAUUGAUUAUACUAUGUUGUGAGGAUUUAAUGAGUUACUUUGAAAAGUGUAAAAUGUUAUACAGAUAUAAGGCAUUAUUUUUUAUUAUUCACAACUAUUUUUUUUAACUUGAUAACUUACUGCUCAAAGGUAUGGGUUGGGCAUCUCAGACAAGGUAUUUGUUUUCCAGAAUUGUGAUUUUAUAACAAAAAGAGUUUACAGAAUAUUUUGCAUCAUUGAAUUUAUAACAUAAUCAAGGAAAUAAUUUAAACAACUCUCACUUUUGGGACCUAUAUUUUUGGUAAAGUUAUUUAUUAACAGAGUUUUAUUCAUAAGAAUAUCAAUAUCCAUAAUGUUGAUUGUGGAAAGUAAAAGAAAUAGAUUGUUGGAAUUUCAGGACUAGUUUU